GACGAACGCUGGCGGCGUUCUUAACACAUGCAAGUCGAGCGGAGCGGCGAACGGGUGGGUAACGCGUGAGUAACUGCCCCCCUCCCUGGGAUAACAGUUGGAAACGGCUGCUAAUACCGGAUAGUGGGGGAUGACUGGUGUCCUGUGGGCUUGUUGUUGGGGUAGGGGGCUACCAAGGGGAGGACGGGUAGCCGGCCUGGGAGGGAGACCGGCCACAUUGGGCUGGGAUACGGCCCAAAGUCCUACGGGAGGCAGCUGGGGGGUAUAUUGCACAAUGGGGGAGACACUGAUGCAGCGACGCCGAGGGCGGGAUGACGGCCUUCGGGUUGUAAACCGCUUUAGGCCAUGAAGCGGUAGUGGCAGAAGAAGCACCGGCUAACUACGUGCCAGCAGCCGCGGUAAUAC
rnacentral:rRNA from 1 species